rnacentral:rRNA from 1 species
UACGUAGGGUGCGAGCGUUGUCCGGAAUUACUGGGCGUAAAGAGUUCGUAGGCGGUUUGUCGCGUCGUUUGUGAAAACCCGGGGCUCAACUUCGGGCUUGCAGGCGAUACGGGCAGACUUGAGUGUUUCAGGGGAGACUGGAAUUCCUGGUGUAGCGGUGAAAUGCGCAGAUAUCAGGAGGAACACCGGUGGCGAAGGCGGCACUCUGGGCCGAUACUGACACUGAGGCACGAAAGCGUGGGGAGCAAACAGG